rnacentral:lncRNA from 1 species
CUAAUGUUGUGUGGGUUAUCAGCCAUGUGUUUUACCUACUGACGAACAUCAGAAGUACUGCUCUGAAUGCUAGCACUUAACUUCCUCAACCACACUUGUUAUAGCUAGUAGUUAUAGAGUUUUAGUUAGCUAAGAAAAAUAAUGAAGAAGUAAUUGAUCAUGGCCCUGAAAUCCAAAAAAAAAAAUUCCUUCUUUAUGGAAAGUACUUGUACCUGAGUUUUCAACUGAUGCUUUACAAAGGGAAUAAAAUUAGGAUGCAGUGUUGGGUCUGCACGAGUCUGAAAAACACACGUAAGAAGCACCCCCAGAAAGUAAUAAAAUAGAGAUGAACCAAUGUAGAAUAUAAGCUACAACUAAAAUACUAUGGGAAUGUAAUUAUCCAAAAAUGCAUAAAACUAAAUCUAAAUUUCUGUUUAAAGCGUAAUCCCUGGGUAUUCUCUAUAUAUUCAGAUGAAUUGGCUUGAGUGAGAUGAUGCAAAGAUCUGGAGACUGGAAUAUACUUCUUGUGUCUCUCAUCUAUAUCCCAGCAGCUAUAAUGUCACUUCCAAAGAUUUAUGAAAGAAGGUACCUCAAUAUUAAACUGUAAGGACCAUAUACCAAAUAGGGUGCCUGAAGUAGAAAAAAAAAAAAAAAGCAAAGAAAAUCAGUCUUCUGACUAAAGAAGAACUAGAGAUUUGGAAAGAAAAACCCUGAAAGACACCUCUCUGAAGACAAUCUUUUUAUAUACAUAUUUGUAAAUUUUAAGAAUAUUAUUUGUGUCUUUGUAGCAAGUUCUAGUGUUUACUGAUCUCAUCAUUGAUAAAAAAAAGUUACAACCUCCACGAUAUUUUUGUAAUAGUUGAGAAUGAUAAGGUUUAAAACUGUACAAAAGAACAAUUUUUCUGUUAUUAAAUGUUUCUCUCUAAUAUUUUCAUAGGCUAUUUUGCUUCUUUUAAGAUGCUUAAAUAAGUCAGUACAUUUGCAUCUCACUCCAUGAUGAUGACUGUACAGAAUGAGUUAUUCCUUCAAGACCCAGUGAGGCAUACUGCUGAUGGGUGGACCCCAGCCUACUGAGGUGUGGUACACCAGAGCAGCCUGUAUACAGAGCCUCAUAGCACUUGCUGCCAUGAGUGGGAACUCUAAAGAGUAGCCUGCAAAAAUGCUGGAAGAAUUCUUAGAGGACUUGAAAAUCUUACUGCAGCUUUAAUUUUUAUUUAUUUAUUUAUUUAUUUUUCUGAGAAGAUCUAUCAUGGUAUUUCAAUUUGAGGGCUAUAAACAAGAAGUGCUUUGCUGGCAGUGACUCCAAAUACAUUACUGACUGUAUGCCUUACUUGCCAGAGGUCUUAACCCUCUAAUGAUAGAACGCCUGGUACUGUAAGGAGAGGAAUACCCAGUACUUCCGCAGUAAACAUGCAAACCAUGUUUGAAAGAUCUCCAAGAUGCAGUCAGAGGUUCA